CUCGGCCCACUGCCCGUCCUCGCGGCAGUACAUCAGCGGCGUGCCCUCGGCGGCGGGCACGGCGCCCGGCACGCACUCGCCGGGCACGGGCGCCACCAGCUCGGCGGGCACGGUGCCGGGGAAGCGGGCGAGGCGCGCGGUGGCCGCGGGGCAGCGGCGGAAGAAGAGGCGCACCGAGAGCAGCGCCAUGCAGGCGCCCAGGUCCUGGAAGGCCAGGUAGAAGCCGGCGCGGCGCAGCGGGCCCAGCCGCAGCACCUUGCGGUUGACGCGGCCCCGGGGCCCGCCCGGCCGCGCCAGGUGCUCGGCCGCCACCGUGUCCACCUUCACGUAGGGGUUCUCCAUCCAGGGCGGCGACGUGGCCGUGGCCGUGUCGGCGUCCGACUCGUGGUAGAACACCGAGAACGUCUCCUUGCACGUGCGGGGGGCGCCGCGGCGGCGGCGGGCAGGGCCCAGCGGGUGGAACGGGUGCAGAUCGAGGGGUUCGGGGUGGUUUCCAUGGAGAUGGAGGGGUUCAGGGUGGUUUCCAUGGAGAUCGAGGGGUUCGGGGUGGUUGUCAUGGAUUUUGAGGGGUUUUGGGUCCUUUCCCUUGAGAUCAACAGUUUUGGUGUCGCUUCCACGGAGCUUGAUGGGUUUUGGGUCAUCUUCAUGAAGACUGAGGUGUUUGGGGUUGUUGCCAUGGAGAUCGACGUUGCCAAGGGGAUGCCCGGGGGCGUGUCCAGGUGUGUCCCCAGGUGUGUCCCCAAUGUCCCCAGGUGUGUCCCAGGUGUGUCCCCAAUGUCCCCAGGGGUGUCCCCAAUGUCCCCAGGUGUGUCCCCAGGGGUGUCCCCAAUGUCCCCAGGGGUGUC
rnacentral:lncRNA from 1 species